rnacentral:tRNA from 2 species
GGAGGGUUGUCAGAGUUGGUUUAUUGUGUCACUCUUGAAAAGUGAUGUACGUGAUGAGCGUACCAGGGGUUCGAAUCCCUUACCCUCCG